ACUAGUACCGUGAGGGAAAGUUGCAAAGCACUUUGAAGAGAGAGUUAAAGAGGACGUGAAACCGAUAAAGAUGGAAACGGAUAGAGUCAACGUAUCUGGCCUGUAUUCAGCUGCUGUCCGGCGGUCCGGCCUGCCAAACAAACCCGCUUCUGGUUGGUUGGUGGGCCCGCUCCGAUUGCCGGCUAGUAGUGCAUUUGCAGGUGGAGUGCGCUGAGAGAUGUGGUUUGGCGAUUGGAUGCCUAGCUUUGAGGGCACUUCUCUCGGGAAGUAAAUCCCUGGCUGGUGGAUGAUUGUUCGAGCUGCAUUGUUCUGCCCGACGAGAAUGGCCUACGGACUGGGGCGCGCGCACGGCUAUCACUGGUGUCGGUCACAUGUGACACGUGCCUGUUGUUGUCGUGUUCGUGUUCUCGGUUCUCUUUCUCGAUCUCGGUGUAAAAGUUGGUCAUCUAUCCGACCCGUCUUGAAACACGGACCAAGGAGUUUAGCGUAUGCGCGAGUCAUUGAGUGUUGAAAACUCAAAGGCGUAAUGAAAGUGAAUUGUAAAUGAUAUGCGAUCUUUGGCACUGCGGUGUCCUAGAGCAGCAUAGCCCCGUUCCAAUUGCUUGCAAUGGGGCGGAGGUAGAGCGUAUUCGCUGAGACCCGAAAGAUGGUGAACUAUUCCUGAGCAGGAUGAAGCCAGAGGAAACUCUGGUGGAAGUCCGAAGCGGUUCUGACGUGCAAAUCGAUCGUCUGACUUGGGUAUAGCGGCGAAAGACUAAUCGAACUAUCUAGUAGCUGGUUCCUUCCGA
rnacentral:rRNA from 1 species